rnacentral:rRNA from 1 species
AAUGAACGCUGGCGGCAGGCCUAACACAUGCAAGUCGAACGGAUCCUUCGGGAUUAGUGGCGGACGGGUGAGUAACGCGUGGGAACAUACCCUUUGGUACGGAAUAGCCUCGGGAAACUGGGAGUAAUACCGUAUGUGGUCGAGAGACGAAAGAUUCAUCGCCAAAGGAUUGGCCCGCGUUGGAUUAGGUAGUUGGUGGGGUAAUGGCCUACCAAGCCGACGAUCCAUAGCUGGUUUGAGAGGAUGAUCAGCCACACUGGGACUGAGACACGGCCCAGACUCCUACGGGAGGCAGCAGUGGGGAAUCUUAGAUAAUGGGGGAAACCCUGAUCUAGCCAUGCCGCGUGAUCGAUGAAGGCCUUAGGGUUGUAAAGAUCUUUCAGGUGGGAAGAUAAUGACUGUACCACCAGAAGAAGCCCCGGCUAACUCCGUGCCAGCCGCCGCGGUAA